GGAGAGUAAACCUUGAUGGUGAUAGGGACGGAUUGCUAAUCCGCUUCGCUCUGAAAGGAGUUCGGUUCGAUUCCGAUGCUCUCCU
rnacentral:tRNA from 2 species